rnacentral:rRNA from 1 species
CCCUUAGAUGUUCUGGGCCGCACGCGCGCUACACUGACGAAUGCAACGAGCUUAUAACCUUGGCCGAAAGGUCUGGGUAAUCUCCAAAUUUCGUCGUGAUGGGGAUAGAUUAUUGCAAUUAUUAAUCUUCAACGAGGAAUGCCUAGUAAGCGCAAGUCAUCAGCUUGCGUUGAUUACGUCCCUGCCCUUUGUACACACCGCCCGUCGCUCCUACCGAUUGAAUGGUCCGGUGAAAUCUUCGGAUUGCUGACCAAGAUCCAGCAAUGGAGCUUGGUUGCGAGAAGUUGAUUAAACCUUAUUAUUUAGAGGAAGGAGAAGUCGUAACA